GUACACAUCAACAUCAUCGGGAUACACCUGUACCCAUGACGAACACAGAAGUUAAGCCCUAGAACGCCGGAAGUAGUUGGGGGUUGCCCCCUGUG
rnacentral:rRNA from 1 species